CAGUAGCCGCGGGAAUACGAAGGGGGCUAGCGUUGCUCGGAAUGACUGGGCGUAAAGGGCGCGUAGGCGGCGGCCAAAGUCAGGCGUGAAAUUCCCGGGCUCAACCUGGGGGCUGCGUUUGAUACUUGGUUGCUUGAGUGGGGAAGAGGGUCGUGGAAUUCCCAGUGUAGAGGUGAAAUUCGUAGAUAUUGGGAAGAACACCGGUGGCGAAGGCGGUGACCUGGUCCUUUUCUGACGCUGAGGCGCGAAAGCGUGGGGAGCAAACAGGAUUAGAUACCCCCGUAGUCCCUGUCUCUUAUAC
rnacentral:rRNA from 1 species